UUUUGUUAUGUCGUGGCUUUUUGAGUUGAAAGAACAAAAGAAAAAUUCAGUUUGUAAGCUGAAAAUGGAAAAUAACAAAAAGUGCUUAGAAUAGGGUUUUGAAGUACCUGCAUUCUCAUCGUUAGAAAAAUUACAGCGCAGCGGCAUGCAUCCAAACCUUAACUCUUGGAGGUCAACUAUAUAAGUUUAAAUCUCAAAUUAUUACCUCUACAAAGAGAUCUGAGAGCGAUCAAGAGGUUCAAAAGGAGGUUGAUAAGAAGCACUUGGAUCAAAAAGUGAAAAAGAGGAGAAUUAUUAAAAAGGAUAAAGAUAAUGAUUCUAAGAAGAAAAAUAUUAAUAUCAAUGAUUUAAAGCUUCUUCGAGAUGGCAGCGUCUUGCAUUUUUUCGACCAACGUGCUGUUUGCGUCCAAAAUCUUUAGCAGCCUUCCAGUUAAGUAGACGACGAAGAUUUUCUCCAGCUCAGCUACGAUCUUAGGACCAUACCUUGUCUGGACUCUACGGACGUUCUUCACUUCAUAUGCUUGAUUCGGUAUUAACUCAGACAUCGACUUCGUGGGUAGGAAUUGCUCCAUACGACCAACGGCAUUAAUUGCUGCGAGAUCCAUUUUGCUGUUCUUGAUAUAUCGAUAGUUCUGAUCUUGUGUCGAAGUUGCUAUUGAUGCUUUCAUCAGCUUCGGAGAUACUAGAAUGAAGUGAUCGCUCCUGAGACUUUCUUUUAUAAGCCACCGCUUUACCUACCCUACCCGCUCUAAGCUAAUUAAUUGCUUAAUACGUUUAAUUUACUAAGAACUGAAUUAACUUAAAAAUUAAUUUUAAGUUUUGAAUUAAGUAAAUACUAAUCUAAAUCAGUUAAUUUAAACUUAUUUAAAGAAAAUCAAGGCUAGUUAAAAUAUAAUUUAGUCUAUAUAAAUUAUGACUAUUAGGAGAGGGAACUUUGAAUUAAAUUCUCAUAUUUUUUCAUUUAAUAAUAUUUUAUUUAGUAAGAAAAUCUGAAUCUAGUUUUACGAAAAUAGGUUACAAUUAUUAUAAAAAUCUUUUAUUGUACAAUGAUCCAAGUGAUCUUCAUUUGUGGAACAUUUCUUCCGGUUUGAUCUGGUGUAUCCAGAAUCCAAUUUCUGAGGAUGGUCACGUUUUGCACUGCACAAUUACUUGUAUAGGACGUGUGAUAACAUGAGUUUGUGGAUCCUACAUCUAUUUUUUUAAGUGAAGGGCAGUCAAGUUCAUCCAAAUCUUGGAUGUUAAUGACAAAUUUUUCAAGCCAUCUUUUGUUCUGUAGACCUUCAACAUAGAUUAGGCGUGUAUUUGUCAAUGUUUCUCGAAGUAUAGAUCUUAUUUUCUCAUAAGGGACUUCACCAGCAUUCCAGUUGAUUCCAUGGUAGUUACGUGUCAACCAGAAGUUUUCACUAUUGUAUCGUCCCGGAAGAGAACACCAACUGCAAGGCGAUUCGAAAAGGAAGACUAAAAGGUUGAACAUCUUGCUGAAGCGGAACAAUGGCCAACUCCUUGAAAACAAAGUCGUUGUAGGGUUUCUUGAAGCCUUGAACAUCCACAGCAAAGUCCAUUUUGACUAAAACUGAUUUUUACCUGCCGAAAGACGCCUUUUUAUACCCCUCGAUAUUACCCCCACUACUUCACAUAAUUUUCUUUACUUCGCCACUGAUUGGCUGGUAUUGAACAAUACGGUCAUGUAUAAUGGGGCAAUAGGCAGCAGUAUUAGCUGAAAAGUUAACGCUGGAUUCAAAUUCUAAAGGAACAUCUACUGAUGUUUGUUUUAAAAACUAAUUUUGUUUUGAAGAGUCAAUAACAAUGAUUGGAGAAUAUUGCUUGAAAAUACUCUUGCUCAUCAGAGAUUCUGCAUCUUUGUCAUAGUAUGAAGCUUGGAAAUUAGAAUACAUCUAAAACAAUAAUGCAAAUCGAUUUUGAUUGAAGUUUAAAUUCAAAUUACCAUGCGGAUAAUAUUGAGAAUUCUAAAACAGUUUAACAUUUGUAAUGUUACAAUUUUCAAAGAAACGAGCAUAUAUUUUUCGCUGAUCCUUUCCACCUGUUUGGAAUCCUAGUAUGACAUACUAUGGUUUCUCCAAUUGCGUUGAAGUCUUCAUUUGGCAUAGGUUUCUUUGAGUGGCAGGGAUUAAAGGAUAUUUAUACAUUUCCCAAGAUCGAAAGCUUAUUGGUAUAAGUGGAUCCUUCUCAAUAUACUUGAGCAGUUGUAUCUUUUGACGAUCAGCUGGUAAUAAAUAGGGAACCUUCCACUCAACUUUUUGCAGUCAGGAUCUCCCUGUGCAGGUUGAAUAAUAGCAUUAAAGUCUGUGCGAGAUCUUGUCAAGAUACGUUCAUGUUUAGCAUUCACAACUAUCUUUUGAUAAUCUCCAGCAAAUCCAAAAAUCAUGUUGAGUGGUAUUGUUACAUCGAAGUAUCCAGCUUCAUUUGUUAUUUUAGCAUUUAAAUCCAUAUCAAGCCAGCCUGCAUUCUCAGCAGAAUGAAGCUGAUUAGUAGUUUAGUUCAUAGUGAAUUUCGUCAAAUAAAAAGCAAAUGGCAUAGCCAAUUAAAUUUGUAGCUGCAGCAACUGUAGUUCCAUUAGCUUGUACCAACCUUCCAAAUGCAUGUAAUGAACUUUUACUUGGAAGAAUGCAAAAAUCUUGAUUUUAUAUCGCAAUUCGUAUUUCGCCACUAUUGUUAAACGACGAUGAAACAUAAGGUUGAUGAGUAUGAACUUCAUAGUGCGCUAUAGAUUCAUCAUAGCUAACUCGAGCUUGAAUGUUUAGUAUUUCUUCUAUCUUUGUGGCAACGACAAAUAAA